CUUUGACGUGCACAUGAAACUAUUUGUCUGUCCUUUUCAAUCAGGGCCACAGUUUCAAAAGGACUUAAAAAACAUAGCAACAACACAUUCCAACACUUCCUUCUGCUUAUGGGAAAGCACCCUGCCCUCCAAACCUAGCGCCUGGAAAAUGCGAAUUUCUCAGCCCACACUGAAGCCUUCUGGAGUAAAGCUAUUUGUGUGCAGUGAGGAGUGCAUCAUGCUUUGGCCAUAACUGGAAUGUGCACAGCUUUGUGAAGUUUCUCAGAAUGACUCAAAGAGUGGAAGCAAAUAAAAAACCACAGAGAUAUUUGUGUCUUCA
rnacentral:lncRNA from 1 species